GAAUAUAGUAAGUCAGGGAGGCAGAAGUUUCCUGGUUUCCCAUAAUGUCCUUCUGGGGGCAGCAGUGAAGAUCCACUGUCCCUUUCUUGUGUGGGUAGCUCCUGCUGAGUCAGUUUGUCAGCAUGACAUCGCUGAAAAUUCCACAGCCUUGUGUGUUUAUACCCUCUCCAGAUACCAAUGGACUGCUUGUUCACUUCUGGGAAAUCUUAAGAAAACACAGAAGCAUUGUUGAACUCAAAAGCGGAAGUCAAGGAUUUGAAAUGUGAUGGUACAUCCUGCUCUCUCGGCCCCAGUAGAGGCAGCAGGAUUUGAAGAAACGUCUCCUGUACUCUUUGAAACUUCAUGUUUCCUUACAUCUUAUUUUAAAAAUCUAUCUGCCAUUCAAGAUUAUGUUUCCAAGAUUGUUUUCCAGCCUUUUUAUUAAGGCUGCCAUAAAACAAGAAUGUCUGCCUUUCCAGUAA